AUUGAACGCUGGCGGCAGGCCUAACACAUGCAAGUCGAGCGGAUGAAGGGAGCUUGCUCCUGGAUUCAGCGGCGGACGGGUGAGUAAUGCCUAGGAAUCUGCCUGGUAGUGGGGGAUAACGUCCGGAAACGGGCGCUACUACCGCAUACGUCCUGAGGGAGAAAGUGGGGGAUCUUCGAACCUCACGCUAUCAGAUGAUCCUAGGUCGGAUUAGCUAGUUGGUGGGGUAAAGCCCUACAACGGCGACGAUCCGUAACUGGUCUGAGAGGAUGAUCAGUCACACUGGAACUGAGACACGGUCAAGACUCCUACGGGAGGCAGCAGUGGGAAAUAUUGGAAAAGGGGCGAAAGCCUGAUCCAGCCAGGCCGCGGGGGUGAAGAAGGUCUUCGGAUGGUAAAGCAUGUUAUGUGGGGAGGAAGGGUAGUAAGUUAAUACCUUGCUGUUGUGACGGUACCAAAAGAAUAAGCACCGGCUAACUUCGUG
rnacentral:rRNA from 1 species